AACCUGCGAGACUCUGUUCACUGCGAAGAGAAACACUAAAAAUACACCUGCCUUAAUCUUCUUACAGGACCUGUGCUGCCUGAUGGACCACACACACACACACGCACACACACAAAGGCAGAUUGAUCCUUAAGAGCAACCUAAUUCGUCGAAUCAUCUCGUUCCAGGGUCCGCUCGUAUGGUUUCUCUGCUGGAGGGGCUGUGCGGCCCGGACUGUUUGGACGAGAUGAACAUGUCGAGCCGCCUCAGCCUCAACAGCCUGGGUCGCAUCUGCGGAAUCGGACCCAACAACGACACGGUGGUGCUGGACCGGGUCAAGCGGAAGAACUCGGUCAGGCGCAUGUCCAUCAUCGAGGACGGGCAGAUCGCCGAGGUGCUCUACUUGAUCCCCAAGCAGUGCAUGAUGGAGCAGCUGCCGUUCCUCAAUCCCAAUGACUACGUCCUGUGCGAGAAGUUGGCGGGCAUACCUGCUGAUGUGUCAGUGCUUCACACUCACUCUCCCGCACCCAAGCGGGUCAUCAGAUGCGUCAAAUGCAGGGAGGUCUGCAAAGGGGAGGUGCUUCGAGUCCAGUCCAGUCACUUCCACAUCAAAUGUUUCACCUGCAAAGUUUGUGGCUGCGACUUGACCAGGUCGGGCUUCUUCAUAAAGAACGGCGACUGCCUCUGUCCGCUGGACUACCAGAGGCUUCAUGGCACGGUCUGCAACAGCUGCGGGGGAUUUGUGGAGGGAGACGUGGUCGCCGUUUUGGGCAAGACUUAUCACCCGACCUGCUUUGUGUGCACCAUUUGCAAGCAACCUUUUCCCGCGGGUGAUUGCGUCACCUUCAGUGGGAAAGAGUGCAUCUGUCAGCGGUGUGUUAACCCGUUGACCCCUCCGCCAACUGGUAUCAGAUACUCCGACAACUGCAACGGCUGCGGACGCGAUAUCAAGAACGGGCAGGCUUUACUCGCUCUGGGCAGCCAGUGGCACCUCGGCUGCUUCAAGUGCAACAUCUGCACAAAAUUGCUGAGUGGAGAAUACAUCAGCAAGGAUGGCGUUCCAUAUUGUGAGAGGGACUACCAGCUUCAAUUUGGGGUGCAGUGUGACGCAUGUCAGAAGUUUAUAACGGGGAAAGUCCUUGAGGCGGGGGACAAACAUUAUCACCCGGAAUGCGCGAGAUGCAGCCGAUGUGACAAAAUGUUCACCGAGGGCGAAGAAAUGUAUUUGCAAGGCUCAGCAGUGUGGCACCCGGACUGCAGAGAGAGGAGCAGGAACCAUCACAGCAACAGGGUCCGACGAAGCAAAACACCUUGUCUUGAUUUCUUUUACCCUCCGAGUGAACUGAAGUCGACUCUGACUUCGUCCGAAAGCUCCUGCUCCAGACCCGGCUCGUGUACCCCUGGAAGCCCCGGUCGCUCCAUUUGUGCCAAAGUAGAUGAUGAGAUCAUUGAUUACCGAGACUUAGCAGCAAUUCCCAGAGUCAAGGCUAUUUAUGACAUAGAGCAUCCCGAUAUGAUGUCCUAUAAGAGUGACGACCUCACCUCAGCUGCUUUGGACGGCACACGGGACAGAAAAAGCUCUGCCGAGUCUCCAGCAAAUGCAUCCGAGACCACCGAGGAAGGUUACGAGCUGAGGAAAUGCAUUCCCAAAUCGGCGAGCCACGGAUCAUUCGGCGUUCGGUCGUACAGUCGUCACAGCUACACGCCGACGCGAUCGCCUCAACACUUCCACCGGCCCGGCUCAUUAUUUUCUGCCAACGACACCUUGGCAACUUCCUGUCACCUCUUAGCUCCUGACAGCGCAGAUCAAGGUUUCAACAUGUACAGAAAACCUCCAAUUUUCAAGCAGCAAGAUCCAAACUCCACCCAAACGUCCUCUUUGCCUGGAUACAGUUGCAACGGCCUCAGUCCACCACAAUCUACUGAAUUCCUCCGAAGCAGCGGCGACACAUUAAGAGAUUUCAAGCUCCCCCAUGACUGCCUGCAUCCAUUUGCACGAAUGGACAGAGGAGUGUCAAUGCCUAAUUUGCUGGAGCCAAAAGCAAGUCUACCCGUAUGAAAUGCUCACGGUUGCCAACAGGGGGCGUGCGAAACUUCCCAGAGAGGUUGACAGAACAAGAUUAGAGCGUCAUCUGUCCACAGAGUCCUUCUUUGAAAUCUUUGGCAUGACCAUAAGAGAAUUUGACAAACUGCCGCUUUGGAAACGAAACGACAUGAAGAAACAGGCCAAUCUCUUUUAAAUCAUUGCUAUGUUCUUUUAUUUAUUGUCAGAUUGCUCUGACUCCAUCUUCCUCAUGGGGGCACUAGAGCAGCAAAAACAUUUUUUUUUUCUUUCCUCCCUGUCUGUUCAACUUCUCAUAUUGAAGGAUUCCGUGGACUAAAUGAUCUGAGCUAAAAGCUGAAUCAUAGGAAUGUCUGCGCGUGGAAUGUUAUGUUAAAGCAAUCUGGAAGAUCUCAACGCGGGGCUUCCAAUGUUAAGCUUCCCAUCUUACCAUUGCGACACUCAUGCCUCAGUUUAUACUUGCCUUCAGAAAAUUAUACAAGACUUAUUAGGGGAUAUAUAUGUAUAUAUUUCUAAAAUUGCUGCAAUCAUAAUCAUACAUUCAAAGAGAGAAAAUAAAGUGUAUUAGCCUGCCAUAAAAAAAAAAAGUUAUUGAUUGGGCGAUGAUGUCAUGUAUUAGUACUGUAUUGUUUUAAAUCUGCUUACAAAUAUUGAAAGGUAUAUAAAAAUAGCUAUUCAAGCGCUGUAAAAAUAUGAGCCAAAGUGGAUAUUCAUGCCUAUGUGUGUGUUUCACAUUUUAAAAUUAUUUUUGGCUCACGUCCCUAAAGAGUUGCACAUGAAUGCCUCAAAUGAAAAGUACCGGGUUGUCAUUUUCCACUUUCAUGUGGACCUCAAAGAACCAGUUUAUGAUGACAGAUGACUUGAUCUGCUUAUCUGGACUGUGUAGAGAAAGAUACUCUGUAUCUUUUGGGCUAUUAUCCUGUCUGCAGAUUAUUUUGAGCUAAUUUCAAUUACAGUCUAUGAAGAAAGCGGUAGAAAAAGUAUUGCUAUUUCCAUCCUGUUUUCUUCUUUAAUUUUGAAUCUAUUCUUAAAUUAAACCUGCUUUUUGCCUUCUUUACUGUA